ensembl:lncRNA
CUAACAGUGGGGAAAUGGUGGUGAAGUUCAAGUGCAGAGCACUGCCAAGAGAUGAGAAAAUGACGGCAGCAGCAGAAGAACCCUUUAUUUGGUCAAAGUCCAACUCAGAAACUUUAUUUGGUCAGAGUCCAACUCAGAAACUUUAUUUGGUCAAAGUCCAACUCAGAAACUCAAUAUGUAGAGUGGAUGUAUGUGGGGAACUGCUCUGACUGAAGCAAAGUGAGGGCCUGGACCCUAAAAUUCAGCUGUUUCCCCUCUUCUCCCAGAACUCAAGAAGCACAGUUCGAAAACGAAAGAACGAGUGGAAUGCAGGCCUCUCCUUCUUCAGGUGAGGAUUCAGACCAGGAUACAGAACCACUCAGAGGCCUGACUGUCAGUCCGGAAGUCCUUCCAGAGCACCAGCAGUCCUGUGCUCGAGGUUUAGAAACCAAAAACCACUGUGCUGACCACAGCGCCCACUAGAGCUCCCCCUGUAGUCAGAGAUUCACUGGAGCCUCUGUUAGACAUCAUCAUGAAAUGUACCCUGAAAAGACGCUUGCGCAGGACACGCUGCUGGCAACGUGUGGGGUGAAGGGCGCAGAGGUUGCCUUCUCCAAGGAAUCAUUUUCUAAGAUGUACAUUUCCGUCUUGGCAAGCUCAGAGACAAACACCCAGGUACUGUGUUCUGAAGCAGCUGAAUUCGUGAACUAAGAGGAAUAACAUCUUGGGGAGCAUUGGCGCAGGUGCUGUUUGUGCAGGGGCACAUGGAAAGUGUGAGCAGCAGGACAGACCCUCAGCAGGGAUGAGAAGGAGCUACCUGGACUUCUGGGUGUGUGGGAGUUUUAGCAACUUAAUAGCUCAGCAUUGCCUUGCAAAUAUUCUAUGUAUCUGCACCCAAACCUUUUAGGUCUAGAAAUAGAUAUACAAUAUACAAAGUAUAUAUGUAUACUAGAUAGAUAGAUAGAUAGAUAGAUAGAUAGAUAGAUAGAUAGAUAGACAAAUGUAUUAUAUGUAAAGUAUAUACACAUAUAUGUAAGUUUUCCUGUGAGUUUUAUUUUAUUUUAUAAUUUCAACUUUUAUUUUAGAUUAAGGGGUACAUGUGCAGGUUUUACCUGGGUAUACUGCAUGAUGCUGAGGUUUGGGCUACAAUUGAUGCCAUCACCCAGAUACUGAGCAUAGUGUCCAGUAGUUAGUUUUUCAACCCUGGCCCACCUCACCCCCCAUUCUAGUAGUCCCCAGUGUCUAUUGUUGCCAUCUUUAUGUCCAUAAGUACCCAAUAUUUAGGUCCCACAUAUAAGUGAGAACAUGCAGUAUUUAGUUUUCUGUUCCUGCAUUAAUUCACUUAGGAUAAUGGUCUCUGGCUACGUCCAUGUUGCUUCAAAGGACAUGGCUUUUUUUCUUUUUUAUGGCUGUGUAGUAUUUCAUUGUGUACAUGUACCACAUUUCCUUUAUCCAAUCCACCACCGAUGAACAUCUAGACUGAUUUCAUCUGUUUGUUGUUAUGAAUAGUGUUGCAAUGAACACAUGAGUGCGUGUGUCCUUUUGGUAGAAUAAUUUAUUCUCUUUUGGAUAUAUACCCAGUAAUGGGAUUCCCAAGUUGAAUGGCAGUUCUGUUUUAAGUUCUUUGAGAAAUCUCCAAACUGCUUUCCACAGUGGCUGAACUAAUUUACAUUCCCACCAACAGUGCAUAAGCGGUCCCCUUCCUCUGCAGUCUCACCAGGAUCUGUUGUUUUUUGACUUCUUAGUAGUAGCCAUUCUGACUGGUGUGAGAUGGUAUAACCUUGUGGUUUUGAUUUGCAUUUCCCUGAUGAUUAGUGAUACUGAGCAUUUAAAAAAUAUGUUUGUAUGCCUUCUUUUGAGAAGUGUGUGUAUGUUUUUUGCCCAUUUUUUAAUGGAGUUAUUUGUUUUUUGCUUGUUGAAUUAAGUUCCUUGUAAAUUCUGGAUGUUAGACCCUUGUCAGAUGCACAGUUUGUGAAUAUUUUCUCCCAUUCUGUAUCUGCUUACUCUGUUGAUUGUUUUUAUUGCUGAGCAGAAGCUCUUUAGUUUAAUUAGGUCCCAUUUGACAAUUUUUAUGUUGGUUGCAAUUGCUUUUGAGGACUUAGUCAGAAAUUUCUUCCCUCAGGCCCAUGUCCAGAGUGGUGUUUCCUAGGUUUUCUUCUAGGAUUCUUGUAAUUUGAGGUCUUACGUUUAAAUGUUUAAUCCAUCUCGAGUUCACUUUUGUAUAUGGUGAAAGGUAAGAGU